rnacentral:rRNA from 2 species
UGAGGAAUAUUGGUCAAUGGGCGAGAGCCUGAACCAGCCAAGUAGCGUGAAGGAUGACUGCCCUAUGGGUUGUAAACUUCUUUUAUACGGGAAUAAAGGACAUCACGUGUGAUGUUUUGUAUGUACCGUUAUGAAUAAGCAUCGGCUAACUCCGUGCCAGCAGCCGCGGUAAUACGGAGGAUGCGAGCGUUAUCCGGAUUUAUUGGGUUUAAAGGGAGCGCAGACGGGUUUUUAAGUCAGUUGUGAAAGUUUGGGGCUCAACCUUAAAAUUGCAGUUGAUACUGGAGACCUUGAGUGCGGACGAGGAAAGCGGAAUUCGUGGUGUAGCGGUGAAAUGCUUAGAUAUCACGAAGAACUCCUAUUGCGAAGGCAGCUUUCUAGGCCGUAACUGACGUUCAUGCUCGAAAGUGUGGGUAUCAAACAGG